CCUACGGGGGGCUGCAGUGGGGAAUAUUGGACAAUGGGGGCAACCCUGAUCCAGCCAUGCCGCGUGUGUGAAGAAGGCCCUCGGGUUGUAAAGCACUUUCAGUGAGGAAGAACGCCUGGUGGUUAAUACCCAUCAGGAAAGACAUCACUCACAGAAGAAGCACCGGCUAACUCCGUGCCAGCAGCCGCGGUAAUACGGAGGGUGCGAGCGUUAAUCGGAAUUACUGGGCGUAAAGCGCGCGUAGGUGGCUUGAUAAGCCGGUUGUGAAAGCCCCGGGCUCAACCUGGGAACGGCAUCCGGACCUGUCAAGCUAGAGUGCAGGAGAGGAAGGUAGAAUUCCCGGGGUAGCGGUGAAAUGCGUAGAGAUCGGGAGGAAUACCAGUGGCGAAGGCGGCCUUCUGGACUGACACUGACACUGAGGUGCGAAAGCGUGGGUAGCAAACAGGAUUAGAUACCCUGGUAGUC
rnacentral:rRNA from 1 species